UCGAAGCCACGCCGGUAAACCUACUGGAGGCCUG
rnacentral:sRNA from 1 species